rnacentral:rRNA from 1 species
AAAUUGAAGAGUUUGAUCAUGGCUCAGAUUGAACGCUGGCGGCAGGCCUAACACAUGCAAGUCGAGCGGUAGCACAGAGAGCUUGCUCUCGGGUGACGAGCGGCGGACGGGUGAGUAAUGUCUGGGAAACUGCCUGAUGGAGGGGGAUAACUACUGGAAACGGUAGCUAAUACCGCAUAACGUCGCAAGACCAAAGUGGGGGACCUUCGGGCCUCAUGCCAUCAGAUGUGCCCAGAUGGGAUUAGCUAGUAGGUGGGGUAAUGGCUCACCUAGGCGACGAUCCCUAGCUGGUCUGAGAGGAUGACCAGCCACACUGGAACUGAGACACGGUCCAGACUCCUACGGGAGGCAGCAGUGGGGAAUAUUGCACAAUGGGCGCAAGCCUGAUGCAGCCAUGCCGCGUGUGUGAAGAAGGCCUUCGGGUUGUAAAGCACUUUCAGCGGGGAGGAAGGCGAUAAGGUUAAUAACCUUGUCGAUUGACGUUACCCGCAGAAGAAGCACCGGCUAACUCCGUGCCAGCAGCCGCGGUAAUACGGAGGGUGCAAGCGUUAAUCGGAAUUACUGGGCGUAAAGCGCACGCAGGCGGUCUGUCAAGUCGGAUGUGAAAUCCCCGGGCUCAACCUGGGAACUGCAUUCGAAACUGGCAGGCUAGAGUCUUGUAGAGGGGGGUAGAAUUCCAGGUGUAGCGGUGAAAUGCGUAGAGAUCUGGAGGAAUACCGGUGGCGAAGGCGGCCCCCUGGACAAAGACUGACGCUCAGGUGCGAAAGCGUGGGGAGCAAACAGGAUUAGAUACCCUGGUAGUCCACGCCGUAAACGAUGUCGAUUUGGAGGUUGUGCCCUUGAGGCGUGGCUUCCGGAGCUAACGCGUUAAAUCGACCGCCUGGGGAGUACGGCCGCAAGGUUAAAACUCAAAUGAAUUGACGGGGGCCCGCACAAGCGGUGGAGCAUGUGGUUUAAUUCGAUGCAACGCGAAGAACCUUACCUGGUCUUGACAUCCACAGAACUUUCCAGAGAUGGAUUGGUGCCUUCGGGAACUGUGAGACAGGUGCUGCAUGGCUGUCGUCAGCUCGUGUUGUGAAAUGUUGGGUUAAGUCCCGCAACGAGCGCAACCCUUAUCCUUUGUUGCCAGCGGU